rnacentral:ncRNA from 2 species
AUUCAUCUUCGGGGCAGGGUGUAAUUCCCGACCGGCGGUAAUAGAAGGAGCGAUGUCUGACCAUCCUUGGAGGACAUUGCGAAACCCCUUCUUCAGCCCGCGAGCCGCUUUUACAGUGUGCAGGAUUUGGUGAGAUUCCAAAGCCGACAGUAUAGUCUGGAUGGGAGAAGGUGAAG